UCGAGAAUUUUUCACAAUGGGGGAAACCCUGAUGGAGCGACGCCGCGUGGAGGAUGAAGGCCCUUGGGUUGUAAACUCCUGUCAUAAGAGAACAAGAAAGUGAUAGUAUCUUAAGAGGAAGAGACGGCUAACUCUGUGCCAGCAGCCGCGGUAAUACAGAGGUCUCAAGCGUUGUUCGGAUUCAUUGGGCGUAAAGGGUGCGCAGGCUGUGUGGUAAGUCAGGUGUGAAAUUUAGAGGCUUAACCUCUAAACUGCACUUGAUACUGCCAUGCUAGAGGACUGUAGAGGAGAUUGGAAUUCACGGUGUAGCAGUGAAAUGCGUAGAUAUCGUGAGGAAGACCGGUGGCGAAGGCGAAUCUCUGGGCAGUUCCUGACGCUCAUGCACGAAGGCUAGGGGAGCAAACG
rnacentral:rRNA from 1 species